rnacentral:tRNA from 2 species
GCGGGGAUAGCUCAAUUGGUAGAGCAUCAGCCUUCCAAGCUGAGGGUCGCGGGUUCGAGACCCGUUCCCCGCUCCA